rnacentral:rRNA from 1 species
GAUGAACGCUAACUACAGGCUUAACACAUGCAAGUCGAGGGGCAGCAUAGACAUAGCUUGCUAUGUUUGAUGGCGACCGGCGCACGGGUGCGUAACACGUAUCCAAUCUGCCCGUUACUCGGGGAUAGCCUUCUGAAAGGAAGAUUAAUACCCGAUGGCAUUCAUUAGCGGCAUCGCUUCUGAAUUAAAGAUUUAUCGGUAACGGAUGAGGAUGCGUACGAUUAGCUUGUUGGCGGGGUAACGGCCCACCAAGGCUACGAUCGUUAGGGGUUCUGAGAGGAAGGUCCCCCACACUGGAACUGAGACACGGUCCAGACUCCUACGGGAGGCAGCAGUGAGGAAUAUUGGUCAAUGGUCGGAAGACUGAACCAGCCAAGUAGCGUGAAGGAUGACUGCCCUACGGGUUGUAAACUUCUUUUGUUUGGGAAUAAAAGACGCUACGUGUAGCGUUCUGCAUGUACCUUACGAAUAAGCAUCGGCUAAUUCCGUGCCAGCAGCCGCCUGUAAAAC